AGUGAACGCUGGCGGUAGGCCUAACACAUGCAAGUCGAACGGCAGCACAGUAAGAGCUUGCUCUUACGGGUGGCGAGUGGCGGACGGGUGAGGAAUACAUCGGAAUCUACUUUUUCGUGGGGGAUAACGUAGGGAAACUUACGCUAAUACCGCAUACGACCUACGGGUGAAAGCAGGGGAUCUUCGGACCUUGCGCGAUUGAAUGAGCCGAUGUCGGAUUAGCUAGUUGGCGGGGUAAAGGCCCACCAAGGCGACGAUCCGUAGCUGGUCUGAGAGGAUGAUCAGCCACACUGGAACUGAGACACGGUCCAGACUCCUACGGGAGGCAGCAGUGGGAAAUAUUGGACAAUGGGCGCAAGCCUGAGCCAGCCAUACCGCGUGGGUGAAGAAGGCCUUCGGGUUGUAAAGCCCUUUUGUUGAGAAAGAAAAGCAGCAGGUUAAUACCCCGCUGUUCUGACGGUACCCAAAGAAUAAGCACCGGCUAACUUCGU
rnacentral:rRNA from 1 species